rnacentral:rRNA from 1 species
UCUUGGUCAUUUAGAGGAAGUAAAAGUCGUAACAAGGUUUCCGUAGGUGAACCUGCGGAAGGAUCAUUAAAAAAAGAGAAACGUCCCGUUUUUUUCAUAAGAAUGGGUUCUAUUCCCUUAAACCGUGUCUACAUACCUUUGUUGCUUUGGCAGGCCGCCUUCGGGCGUCGGCUCCGGCUGAUAGUGCCUGCCAGAGGACCCAAACUCUAUGUUUAGUGAUGUCUGAGUACUAUAUAAUAUUUAAAACUUUCAACAACGGAUCUCUUGGUUCUGGCAUCGAUGAAGAACGCAGCGAAAUGCGAUAAGUAAUGUGAAUUGCAGAAUUCAGUGAAUCAUCGAAUCUUUGAACGCACAUUGCGCCCCUUGGUAUUCCGAGGGGCAUGCCUGUUCGAGCGUCAUUAUAACCACUCAAGCCUGGCUUGGUAUUGGGGCUUUCGCGUGUUCGCGGCCCUUAAAAUCAGUGGCGGUGCCGUCUGGCUCUAAGCGUAGUAAUUUCUCUCGCUAUAGGGUUCCGGUGGUUACUUGCCAAAACCCCCCAUUUUUUCUAGGUUGACCUCGGAUCAGGUAGGGAUACCCGCUGAACUUAAGCAUAUCAAUAAGCGGAGGA